UACGUAGGGGGCAAGCGUUGUCCGGAAUCAUUGGGCGUAAAGCGAGCGUAGGCGGCCCGAUAAGUCUGCUGUAAAAGUCAACGGCUCAACCGUUGAAAGCCGGUGGAUACUGUCGGGCUAGAGUUCGGAAGAGGCAAGUGGAAUUCCUGGUGUAGCGGUGGAAUGCGCAGAUAUCAGGAGGAACACCUAUAGCGAAGGCGGCACUCUGGGCCGGUACUGACGCUGAGGAGCGAAAGCGUGGGGAGCGAACAGG
rnacentral:rRNA from 1 species